rnacentral:piRNA from 1 species
UGACACGCGUUGCAAGCCGUGACUCGAUGC